AUUGAACGCUGGCGGCAGGCCUAACACAUGCAAGUCGAGCGAGCGGCGGACGGGUGUGUAAUGUAUGGGGACUGCCCGAUAGAGGGGGAUAAAUACUGGAAAAGCUGGAUAAUACCGCAUACUACAGGAGAAAACAUAUGGGAUUAGCUAGUAGGUAAGGUAAUGGCUUACCUAGGCGACGAUCCCUAGCUGGUCUGAGAGGAUGAUCAGCCACACUGGGACUGAGACACGGCCCAGACUCCUACGGAGGCAGCAGUGGGGAAUAUUGCACAAUGGGCGCAAGCCUGAUGCAGCCAUGCCGCGUGUAUGAAGAAGGCCCUAGGGUUGUAAAGUACUUUCAGUCGGGAGGCGUUACCGACAGAAGAAGCACCGGCUAACUCCGUGCCAGCAGCCGCGGUAAUUC
rnacentral:rRNA from 1 species